rnacentral:misc_RNA from 1 species
UGCGAGUUCGCGGGAGAGUAAGUUAUUGCCAGGGUUUUUGUUUUAUACUUUAAACAUUGAUUUUAUUUUUUAUGUUUUUGAAUGUUUUAUUCAAAUAAUAUAAAAAAUAAAAUAUAUAUUGACAUGGAUUAAACAAAGAUAUAUAUUAUUUAUGUUGUAUAAAUAAAUUGGCAAAAUAGAGAUGGAAGAUAAAAAUAUGGUCAAAGUAAUAAGAGUCUAUGGUGAAUGCCUAGGAGC